ensembl:snRNA U4atac minor spliceosomal RNA
GCUUUCCUUGUCAUGGGGUGGCGUGGGCGGCCCAAUGAACGCGUAGUGAGGGUUCCCCUGCUGACACCAUAUCAACACAGAAGCACCACCAGAGCCCUGUGCUCUGGAACGGUGCAAUUUUUGGAAAC